rnacentral:rRNA from 1 species
AGAAUCAACGCUGGCGGCGUGCCUAACACAUGCAAGUCGAACGAGAAAGUGGAGCAAUCCAUGAGUAAAGUGGCGCACGGGUGAGUAACACGUGACUAACCUACCCAUAAGUGGGGGAUAACCUCGGGAAACCGGGGCUAAUACCGCAUAACACCGAGAGGUCAAAGGAGCAAUUCGCUUUUGGAGGGGGUCGCGGCUGAUUAGUUAGUUGGUAGGGUAAUGGCCUACCAAGACGAUGAUCAGUAUCCGGCCUGAGAGGGCGCACGGACACACUGGAACUGAAACACGGUCCAGACUCCUACGGGAGGCAGCAGUGGGGAAUUUUGCGCAAUGGGGGAAACCCUGACGCAGCAACGCCGCGUGGAGGAUGAAGUCCCUUGGGACGUAAACUCCUUUCGAUCGGGACGAUAAUGACGGUACCGAGAGAAGAAGCCCCGGCUAACUUCGCGCCAGCAGCCGC